UUGGUGGGUGGGUGCAGGAGGGAGGAGCGCAGGACGGAAGAGCCUGCGAUGCGGAGGCACCCAUAGGAGACUUAGCGCAUCUCUCUGUGUGUUUAGUAGCCCUCGCUUCUUACUCGGUGUCCAAUACUGAAAUAAGCUAGCAGCACCUAUAGCCUUCCUGUUGAGAAAAUGGUUACUCCAUUAUUCUGGAACAGGAAAAGAGCGUCACCUUGUUCCAGUUCUUGGACACCCACCACCUCCAACCAUCAACAAAUGCUGUGCUUUCUCCUCCCUCAGAUAGACCCAGAAUCCUGGCCGCCUCGAUGUGACUCUUAAGUGGUGGUUCAGGUGACCAGCAUUCCUGCCUGGAUAAUCCAUCUACUUGUGGAGUUUAUUCUUAUUUUUGAAGAAAGUGGAUAAUGCUGAAUUGAGGCGAAGAAUUCCCAUCUGGGGGCCCAAAGGGAAAUAGGAAAGUUGACUCGUCAGAGGAGACCUAGCUGCCAUUAUUUGCCUUCCAGUCGCUAUGUUCAUUGGUCAGCUGACAUCUUGACCAUGACAUUCUGAAAGGCUGAAUAGAUACUUAAAAUGGGCUAGAGAGAUGGCUCUGCUCUUCCAGAGGUCCUGAGUUCAAUUCCCAGAAGCCUCAUGGUGGA